CCUACGGGGUGCAGCAGUGAGGAAUAUUGGUCAAUGGACGAGAGUCUGAACCAGCCAAGUAGCGUGAUGGAUGACUGCCCUAUGGGUUGUAAACUUCUUUUAUAUGGGAAUAAAAUGUUCCACGUGUGGGAUUUUGUAUGUACCAUAUGAAUAAGGAUCGGCUAACUCCGUGCCAGCAGCCGCGGUAAUACGGAGGAUCCGAGCGUUAUCCGGAUUUAUUGGGUUUAAAGGGAGCGUAGAUGGGUUGUUAAGUCAGUUGUGAAAGUUUGCGGCUCAACCGUAAAAUUGCAAUUGAUACUGGCAGGCUUGAGUACAGUUGAGGUAGGCGGAAUUCGUGGUGUAGCGGUGAAAUGCUUAGAUAUCACGAAGAACUCCGAUUGCGAAGGCAGCUUACUAAACUGCCACUGACAUUGAUGCUCGAAAGUGUGGGUAUCAAACAGGAUUAGAUACCCCGGUAGUC
rnacentral:rRNA from 1 species